UACGUAGGGGGCAAGCGUUGUCCGGAAUCAUUGGGCGUAAAGCGCGUGUAGGCGGUUAUCCAAGUCGGGUGUGAAAGCCUUGAGCUCAACUCAAGAAAUGCAUUCGGUACUGGGUGACUAGAGGACCGGAGAGGAUAGUGGAAUUCCCAGUGUAGUGGUGAAAUACGUAGAUAUUCGGAAGAACACCAGUGGCGAAGGCGGCUCACUGGACUGGUAUUGACGCUGAGGUGCGAAAGCGUGGGGAGCAAACAGG
rnacentral:rRNA from 1 species